UCCAGAAUGAUGAGUCAGCAAGAAAACGCCCGCACAGGUAGCGACCACUCAGCCAAUGAAACACAACAGGUUACUUCGAAGACUACAUUGGAGCCACUGCGUCAAAAAGAAGGCGGUAGUGGACUGCCUCUCCUCAAAUGCAAGAAAUUGAGUGUAAACGCCAUUCUUCCAACGCUUGGCUCGGAAAGAGCCGCUGGAUAUGAUCUAUACGCUGUGCACGACAAAGUGAUUCCUUGCCAUGGACGCGAGCUGAUCAAGACUGACAUCGCCAUUGCUCUACCUCCAGGAUGUUAUGGACGAGUGGCUCCAAGAAGCGGUUUGGCAUGUAAACAUGGGGUGGAUGUUGGUGCGGGAGUCAUUGACCCCGAUUAUCGAGGAAACGUGGGCGUUCUCAUCUUCAAUUUGUCUGACAACGAGUAUAAUGUAAAGAAAGGGGAUAGAAUUGCCCAGCUUGUGUUGGAGAGAUUCGUUUCUGCGCAAGUAGAGGAGGUUGAAGAGCUGGAUGGCACAGAACGUGGCAUGGGAGGAUACGGGUCUACUGGAAAGUAGAUACUACAAAACCGGGAUGCGUGACAUUAUCUUCACCCACAGAUUACUAGUAAAGAGUCAUUUCGGGGAUUUGCGUUAACGCAACAUUUUAGAGACGCGCGCUAACGUACAUUUUGCGGUAAAAAGCAAUGGUUGCAUGCGCUGAUGGAAGUGACAAGAACUGCAACGCGAAGUUACGGUUGAGCCCAGUUCUUACGACAGAGCCCUUCGAUGUGAGGUUCACUGUGUUAUUAAUUAAACUUGACAACUUUCACUCUGCUCUUGUUUUGGUGAGUAUAAGCAAGAUCAAGCAGCAAAACAGUAAAAAUGGGGCAAGCAUGCAUGACUGUAGUGACCUUGUCACACUACUGAGUCUACAUGUUCUAAUGAAUUGUCUAGUUCACUGGGAUACAGUUUUACUCUAACAUACAGAAAGAUGCAUCCCUC